UGAGCAGGCCACUUGAGCAGGUGACAGU
rnacentral:piRNA from 1 species